GAAUGCUGACAUAAGUAACGAUAAAGCGGGUGAAAAGCCCGCUCGCCGGAAGACCAAGGGUUCCUGUCCAACGUUAAUCGGGGCAGGGUGAGUCGACCCCUAAGGCGAGGCCGAAAGGCGUAGUCGAUGGGAAACGGGUUAAUAUUCCCGUACUUGGUGUUACUGCGAAGGGGGGACGGAGAAGGCUAUGUUGGCCGGGCGACGGUUGUCCCGGUUUAAGCGUGUAGGUGUGUGUUCCAGGUAAAUCCGGUUCACUUUAACACUGAGGCGUGACGACGAGGCACUACGGUGCUGAAGCAACAAAUGCCCUGCUUCCAGGAAAAGCCUCUAAGCAUCAGGUAACACGAAAUCGUACCCCAAACCGACACAGGUGGUCAGGUAGAGAAUACCAAGGCGCUUGAGAGAACUCGGGUGAAGGAACUAGGCAAAAUGGUGCCGUAACUUCGGGAGAAGGCACGCUGAC
rnacentral:rRNA from 1 species